rnacentral:lncRNA from 1 species
AUGAAGGCAGGAGUGGAGGUAGUGGAUACCAUGGAUAACCUGGUGGAUAACAGGGUGGAUAACCUGGUGGAUAACCUGUUGGAUAACGGGGUGGAUAACAGGGUGGAUAACCUGGUGGAUAACCUGGUGGAUAACAGGGUGGAUAACAGGGUGGAUAACCUGGUGGAUAACCUGGUGGAUAACAGGGUGGAUAACAGGGUGGAUAACCUGGUGGAUAACCUGGUGGAUAACAGGGUGGAUAACCUGGUGGAAAACCUGGUGGAUAACGAGUUGGAUAACCUGGUGGAUAACCUGGUGGAUAACCUGGUGGAUAACGGGGUGGAUAACCUGGUGGAUAACGGGGUGGAUAACGGGGUGCAUAACAGGGUGGAUAACCUGGUGAAUAACGUGGUGGAUAACGGGGUGGAUAACAGGGUGGAUAACGGGGUGGUUAACCUGGUGGAUAACCUGGUGGAUAACCUGGUGGAUAACGAGGUGGAUAACAGGGUGGAUAACGGGGUGGUUAACCUGGUGGAUAACCUGGUGGAUAACCUGGUGGAUAACGAGGUGGAUAACAGGGUGGAUAACCUGGUGGAUAACGUGGUGGAUAACGGGGUGGAUAACAGGGUGGAUAACCUGGUGAAUAACGUGGUGGAUAACGGGGUGGAUAACGGGGUGGAUAACGGGGUGGAUAACCUGGUGGAUAAUGGGGUGGAUAACAGGGUGGAUAACCUGGUGGAUAACGAGGUGGAUAAGGGGUGGAUAACCUGGUGGAUAACGAGGUGGAUAACGGGGUGGAUAACGAGGUGGAUAACGGGGUGUAUAACCUGGUGGAUAACGAGGUGUAUAACCUGGUGGAUAACGAGGUGGAUAACGGGGUGGAUAACGAGGUGGAAAACCUGGUGGAUAACGAGUUGGAUAACCUGGUGGAUAACGGGGUGGAUAACCUGGUGGAUAACGAGGUGGAUAACCUGGUGGAUAACGGGGUGGAUAACAGGGUGGAUAACCUGGUGGAUAACGUGGUGGAUAACGGGGUGGAUAACAGGGUGGAUAACCUGGUGA